rnacentral:misc_RNA from 1 species
GCUGCUGGGCACGCGUGUCCAUGCACCCUUUCCCCCCUCCCUGCGCCACCUCACACACAUCCGCCGCACACACGCCUGCUGCUUCACUGCACUGCACUGCACUGCACGCUCCCACUCCCGAUCCAUCCCUUUAUCAUUUGUCACGCCUACGACCCCCGCACUCUACUCUCUCUCUCUUUCUCUGUGUUGUGGAGGAGGGGGCGGCGGAAGCCAGGCAGCCCCUCCCUCCUCUAGCCCUGCCGAUUGCCGGACCCCACUUCUCGCUGUGGCAGGGCCGCGCGCAUGAGACUUGGGGAGGUCAGUGCGAUGCGUCGCUACUGAUGCCGGCGGUGAGGUCGUGGGUGGUGCUGCCUCGGAGCGACCUGCGACCGUGCACACGCUUGUGCCACCCAUGUGACUGGGCAGCGUGACUCGAACGCAUCCCACACCCGACCCUCACACGGCCCACUGGUGCUGCGGGGAGCCUGCGCCACUCGUGGAGAUGCACCAGGUGGCGGCCGACAUGAUGCGGCUGGCUGCGAGGCGACGUGCGAAGCGCAGGGGUGGGUGGAGGUGGAGGCAAAGGCCGCGCCGAUAUGACCUUGCCUGCAUUGUUAUCGCGCAUAUGCACACGGCUGCCUCGCGCCGCGCGGAUGGGCGUGUGUGUGUGUGUGACCGGCGGGGCAGAGUGCGGCGUUCAGCUCGUGCUGCAUGGCGGAGAAAUGGUGGCGCUGCAAAGAAAAUGUAUUGCCCUGGACAGCCUUCUUCUUCCGCCUCCCCUCCCGUCUCUCCUCCGUACCCAACUAUUCACUGCUGCUAGCUCCCUUUGCGUUGUUGGAGGCACUCCAUCAUCUUGAUGUGCGGCCGCGGUAGCGGCAUCCGCACCACUCCACCAUUUUUCUCUCUGCUUUCUCAUAUCCGUUGCACUCUCUACUACUCUUUCUGGUCUCGUACCAG